UGGAGGAGACUCUGAUCCAGCCAUGCCGCGUGUAGGAAGAAUGCCCUAUGGGUUGUAAACUACUUUUAUACAGGAAGAAACACUAGUAUGUAUACUAGCUUGACGGUACUGUAAGAAUAAGGACCGGCUAACUCCGUGCCAGCAGCCGCGGUAAUACGGAGGGUCCAAGCGUUAUCCGGAAUCAUUGGGUUUAAAGGGUCCGCAGGCGGUCAAUUAAGUCAGAGGUGAAAUCCCAUAGCUUAACUAUGGAACUGCCUUUGAUACUGGUUGACUUGAGUCAUAUGGAAGUAGAUAGAAUGUGUAGUGUAGCGGUGAAAUGCAUAGAUAUUACACAGAAUACCGAUUGCGAAGGCAGUCUACUACGUAUGUACUGACGCUGAGGGACGAAAGCGUGGGGAGCGAACAGGAUUAGAUACCCUGGUAGUCCACGCCGUAAACGAUGGAUACUAGUUGUUGGGAUUUAUCUCAGUGACUAAGCGAAAGUGAUAAGUAUCCCACCUGGGGAGUACGGUCGCAAGACUGAAACUCAAAGGAAUUGACGGGGGCCCGCACAAGCGGUGGAGCAUGUGGUUUAAUUCGAUGAUACGCGAGGAACCUUACCAGGGCUUAAAUGUAGUCUGACAGCUUUAGAGAUAGAGUUUUCUUCGGACAGAUUACAAGGUGCUGCAUGGUUGUCGUCAGCUCGUGCCGUGAGGUGUCAGGUUAAGUCCUAUAACGAGCGCAACCCCUGUCGUUAGUUGCCAGCAUGUUAUGAUGGGGACUCUAACGAGACUGCCUACGCAAGUAGAGAGGAAGGUGGGGAUGACGUCAAAUCAUCACGGCCCUUACGUCCUGGGCCACACACGUGCUACAAUGGUAUGGACAAUGAGCAGCCAUCGGCAACAGAGAGCGAAU
rnacentral:rRNA from 1 species